GCAAGUCGAACGAUGAACCGCUUUCGGGCGGGGAUUAGUGGCGAACGGGUGAGUAACACGUGGGCAAUCUGCCCUGCACUCUGGGACAAGCCCUGGAAACGGGGUCUAAUACCGGAUAUGACUGUCCAUCGCAUGGUGGAUGGUGUAAAGCUCCGGCGGUGCAGGAUGAGCCCGCGGCCUAUCAGCUUGUUGGUGAGGUAGUGGCUCACCAAGGCGACGACGGGUAGCCGGCCUGAGAGGGCGACCGGCCACACUGGGACUGAGACACGGCCCAGACUCCUACGGGAGGCAGCAGUGGGGAAUAUUGCACAAUGGGCGAAAGCCUGAUGCAGCGACGCCGCGUGAGGGAUGACGGCCUUCGGGUUGUAAACCUCUUUCAGCAGGGAAGAAGCGAAAGUGACGGUACCUGCAGAAGAAGCGCCGGCUAACUACGUGCCAGCAGCCGCGGUAAUACGUAGGGCGCAAGCGUUGUCCGGAAUUAUUGGGCGUAAAGAGCUCGUAGGCGGCUUGUCACGUCGGUUGUGAAAGCCCGGGGCUUAACCCCGGGUCUGCAGUCGAUACGGGCAGGCUAGAGUUCGGUAGGGGAGAUCGGAAUUCCUGUGUAGCGGUGAAAUGCGCAGAUAUCAGGAGGAACACCGGUGGCGAAGGCGGAUCUCUGGGCCGAUACUGACGCUGAGGAGCGAAAGCGUGGGGAGCGA
rnacentral:rRNA from 1 species